UGGGGAAUCUUCCGCAAUGGACGAAAGUCUGACGGAGCAACGCCGCGUGAGUGAAGAAGGUUUUCGGAUCGUAAAACUCUGUCUUUUGGGGCGAACGUGAGUAUGGUGAACAAUCAUAGUCAGUGACGGUACCAAAGGAGGAAGCCACGGCUAACUACGUGCCAGCAGCCGCGGUAAUACGUAGGUGGCAAGCGUUGUCCGGAAUUAUUGGGCGUAAAGAGCGCGUAGGCGGGAUAGUCAGUCUGUUGUAAAAGUGCGGGGCUCAACCCCGUGAUGGCAAUGGAAACAGCUAUUCUUGAGUGCAGGAGAGGAAAGUGGAAUUCCCAGUGUAGCGGUGAAAUGCGUAGAUAUUGGGAGGAACACCAGUGGCGAAGGCGACUUUCUGGACUGUGUCUGACGCUGAGGCGCGAAAGCCAGGGGAGCGAACGGGAUUAGAUACCCCCGGUAGUCCUGGCCGUAAACGAUGGGUACUAGGUGUGGGAGGUAUCGACCCCCUUCCGUGCCGGAGUUAACGCAAUAAGUACCCCGCCUGGGGAGUACGGUCGCAAGACUGAAACUCAAAGGAAUUGACGGGGUCAUAGCUGUUUCCUG
rnacentral:rRNA from 1 species